UUGGCUGGCAGAAGUCCAGAGAUUUAUGUUAGAAGCAAAUGAAGUUUCUAUCUGAAGCCAUCUUGUUGUUUCCCCAGCAGAAGCUUGCAGAACAUACCGUAACAUUAGGACAAGGACUGUUAGGAUGGGAAACAGCUUCUUCCCCCAGGCUGUGAGGCUACUGAACAUUCUACCCACCACCCAGGUCUCGUCAGGCACAUGACAAUCAACUUAAAUGCUUUUGAGUGUAUUUUUCUGACUGGGAACUGUCCAGGAGAAUGCUGGAAGAAAGAAUAUGAUGACAUGGCUCUAGAUGAUCUGUACUUAAAGACCUAACUGAUAUGAUUGGCAAGACUUCAGACUAAAAUUCAAGGUUCUGCUGAUGAGCAAAAUCAAGAGCAUCCUGACUGGCUGCAUCACUGCCUGGUAUGGGAACCGCACUUCCUUCAAUCAUUGGACUCUGCAGAGAGUGGUGCGGACAGCCCAGCACAUCUGUAGAUGAGAACUUCCCACUGUUCAGGACAUUCACAAAGACAGGUGUGUAAGAAGGGCCCAAAGGAUCACUGGGGACUUGAAUCACCCCAACCAUAAACUGUUCCAGCUGCUACCAUCCAGAAAAUGGUACCGCAGCAUAAAAGCCAGAACCAGCAGGCUCCGGGACAGCUUCUUCCACCAGGCCAUCAGACUGCUUAACUUAUGCUAACACAGCUGUAUUUCAAUGUUAUAGUGACUCUCCUGUUGUACAUACUAUUUAUUAUAAAUUGCUAUAAAUUGCACAUUGCACAGCUAGACGGAGAUGUAUCCUAAAGAUCUUUACUCCUCAUGUAUAUGAAGGUUGUAAGUAAUAAGGUCAAUAGAAUGAACCAAAACACGGGCUUCAUUCUUCAUUUCUUUUUGUGCAGAUGCCACUUGAUCUGCUGAAUGUUAACUAGAAUUUCCUGGGGAGUCCUGAUGAAGGGUCUCAGCCCGAAACGUCAGCUGUUUAUUCUUUAAGAUAGACGCUGCCUGGCCUGCUGAGCUCCUCCAGCAUUUGGUGUGUGUUGUUCUGCGAUGUUCUGUUUUGAUUUUCAGACAUACAGCAUCUAAUUUUUUUUUUGCUUCAGAUAGGGAUGUUCUACGGUAGGGAGACAAGACACGGGCAGCACGUGGUUAGCACAACGCCUUACAGUAGCAGCAACCUGGGUUCAAUCCCUGACACUACCUGUAAGCAGUUUGUACAUUCUCCCCGUGGCAAUAUGGGUUUUAUCCGGGUGCUCCAGUUCUCCCCCCACAGUUCAAAGACAUACUGUUUAGAAGGCUUUGGUUAUUGUAAAUUGCCUUGUGAUUUAUCUAGUGUCAAAUAGGUGGGUAGCUGGGCAGGAUCGCUCGUUGAGUUGAAAGAAAUGUUCCACGCUGUAUGUCAUUAGAUAAAUAAAGAAGUACAUGCCUUAAAUAUUAGAUAAUUGUUGUGAAAUCCAUUAGUUGAUUUAGACACAUCAAUAGUAGAUUAGGACUCUUAUGUUGAAGUGAGAAAUCCAAGGGGUAAGUUAACAGAAAUCUUUAAAACAA